UACCAUCUGAUCUACCAUGUUGAUAAAAGAAAGGAAUAGAAUAGUAUAGGUAGUGACAAAGGUAUAGAUUCAAGGAGAAAUAGAAUGAUAUUAGUGUGACAUCACCGUAUUUCUCAAGAUAGUAUUAUUCAUGAAAGGAAGGUAGAAGAAGGGCAGUAUUUCAAGAGGCUUCCAUUCUCCUAUGGAUCUGUCCUAGGCUGCAAAGGAAAGUGUUCCUGAUUUCUUAACUCAAGAAAGAGUGACAACUAUAAAGCUAACAUAUGAAUUCUUUCACCGCUGAAAAUUUCUAUCUUUUAGGCAAGUUGUCGUCAAAUUUCACUCACAAAUUUUAGAAGCAUUUUCGAAAUUUGAUAUAACCACCGCCCAAGCACGGAAUAGGCUCCAUCGAGAUAUCAAAAUAUUCUUCAAUGUAUACGGUCUUUACCAACGAGUGGCUUGAGUAAAUCAGAUGCCCCAAAUUAGGGCAGCUGGAUGACUUCAUGGUGCAAAAAUUUGGAACUGAUGCUGUUCCGUAAAAGAUAUUGUAAAGUAGCAACUCAACUGGUUAUGUUGGAAGGCUAACAUUGGAGGAUGUAGGGAUGAUUUUAACCUUUUUCACUUUGCAUUUUUGUGUAACACUAAUUUGAGGUAAUACCAUCACUAGAUUUUGUUUAACUUUAUAUGCAAAUGAAUUCUAUAUCAUCUUCAUCAUUUAAUAUUGGAUUGGCGCCAGUCCAUGUACGAGAUUGAAUUGUACAUAGAGAUGAAAUAGCUAUACUUUCUUGCCAUGAUAUUGUGUAUUUGUUGUAACAGAUAUUUGCCUAA